AUGUGCGUACCUAAAAACAAAGGAGGGAUGGGAUUUUGUGAUAUUCACUAUUUCAAUCUGGCACUGCUCGCCAAACAGGCACGGCACCUUCUGGAUAAUCCUGAUUCUUUGUGUGCUACAAUUCCAAGUGCUAAACACUAUCCUGAUGGCAAUUUGUUAAAUUCUAAGCAAAAGAAAGGAUCUUCUUUUACCUGACAAAGUAUUAUGGCUGUCAUGAAUUCUCUGAAACGUGGCUAUAUUUGGCGUGUGGGAAAUGGACAAAAUAUCAAUAUUUGGGAAGAUGCCUGGAUCCCAAAUUUUGCUACUAGGAAAGUUGUGACACCUAAGGGGGGGGAACUAUUAACUAAGGCGGGUGAUCUGAUUGAUCCUACUUCGAAUACUUGGGAUGAAGACCUGAUUACACAAACAAUGUGGCCCAUUGAUGUUCAACGGAUUCUCUCAAUUCCAAUCUCGCAACAUGAUAUGCCAGAUUUCAUUGCUUAGAGUUAUAGGAAAAAUGGUAUGUUCUCGGUUCGGUCUGCUUAUUUUGUGGAGUGGGACCAUUAG
rnacentral:rRNA from 1 species